AGCUUUGUGCAGUGGCAGUAUCAUAGCCAAUGAGGGCAAACCGAGGCGUGAAUAUUGCUAAUUGU
rnacentral:snRNA from 1 species